UCACUCGGUUCGUGUAUCGAUGAAGAACGCGGCCAACUGCGAUAAUUGGUGCGAUUCGCAGCGCCUAGUGAGUCAUUGAAAUUUUGAAUGCAAAUGGCAUGCUGGAUCUAAACCCAGCAUAUGUCUGGUUGAGUGUCU
rnacentral:rRNA from 1 species